rnacentral:rRNA from 1 species
UACGUAGGGUGCAAGCGUUGUCCGGAAUUAUUGGGCGUAAAGAGCUCGUAGGCGGCCUGUCGCGUCGGCUGUGAAAACCCGGGGCUCAACCCCGGGCCUGCAGUCGAUACGGGCAGGCUAGAGUCCGGCAGGGGAGACUGGAAUUCCUGGUGUAGCGGUGAAAUGCGCAGAUAUCAGGAGGAACACCGGUGGCGAAGGCGGGUCUCUGGGCCGGAACUGACGCUCAGACACGACAGCAUGGGGAGCGAACGGG